CAACUACUCCCUCUGUCCCAAAUUUCUUGUCUUAGAUUUGUCUAGAUACGGAUGUAUCUAAUACUAAAAUGUGACUUGAUACAUCCGUAUCUAGACAAAUCUAAGACAAAAUUUUUUGGGACGGAGGGAGUACUUU
rnacentral:pre_miRNA from 1 species